rnacentral:lncRNA from 10 species
GAAAUGCCAGGGAACAAAAAUUUUCACAGUCCAUGGCUACCAUCAUUUAGUUACUUAUUCAUAUAUUUCUCUGCUCAUUCAUGUGUUUUGUUCACUCAUUAAAGUGAGCUUUUUUCCAGACAUGCAACACCCCCCACACUACUAGCUCAAUGCAGGGGAGACAAAAAUAGAGGACGCAAGUUGCUAUGUCCAGCACAUGCCUCAAGAUAAAGCAUCCUCAAUUGCAGCUGUGUGGUCUUUUACAAGUCCUGCCUACGCUUUCCCCCCGCCGUUUUUCACAUAAAGAAGCUGCUUCCCUUAUUCAAGUCAAGUCCUUUAUACUUCUAUUACUCUCUUUUCUCCUUACACAUGAUCUUAUCUCCUACAUUAUGGCUAUAGCCAAGCUAGAACUUGUAGGAUAAUUUGGAGUUUUGGAAGAGAGGAGAAAUUAUAGAGAAAUGAGGUGAAGGAAGCUGUGAGAAGAACAGACAACAAAGGAAAGAAGUAUCUGUGAAAGAUUCAAAUGAAAAUCUCUAUUGCACAAUUGGAAAAUACUUAUCUGGAGCUCAAGAGAGUGAUCCAGAUUAGGGCUAAUAAAUAUGGAUAAAAUCAGUUAAUACUGUAACACCAUAUGGCAUAGAUACUAUUAUAAUCCUCAUUUUACAGAUGAGGAAAGUGGUAUGCAGAGAGGUGAUGUAAUUUGUCUGCAAUUACACACCAUCUGCAGUGUGAUUUGAAGCUCUUAACAAGCUCCCAAGAAACACCAAUGUUUAAGACUGCAAAGGAACUGUCAAAAUGCAAUGGAAACUAGAAGAGUUUUGAGAUGGCAAGAGUGGUCAAGAGAGCCAAAUGUUGCUGAGAGUUCAAGAGAAAGAGGUGAUUUUGUGCAGAAAUAGAUGAUACAGAAGAAAAGCAUUAGAAAGAUUCUAAAAAUAUCUCUUUGGUGAGAACUUUGCAAUCAGAACACCCCACAUCGCAUAGAAGGUUGUUACUGCUAUCCGUCCUUAAGGGAAAAACAUCACCGGUGUUAUGGCAAUGUCACUAGAGAGGUGUAAAGGUGAGAACUGAAAUGACUUUGGGAAAAGGUUUUGGAAGAUUGAGAAGAAAAAAGAGAAGUGGUGUCAUCAUGGCUCACUCACUGCGGUCUCAAACUUCUUGCCUCAAGUGAUGGACCUGAACUCAACUCAAGUGAUCCUCCUGCUUCAGCCUCCCAAAAAUGCUAAGAUUACAGCCAUAAGCCACCAUGACCAGUCCCUUUUCUUUUUUUUUAACCUUUUUAAAAUGCUCAUUUCUUUGUUCUCAUUGAAUCCUAAAGAUGGAUGUAAGUUAUGAUAAACUGCAUUGCUAUUCAUGUGAUCCUUUCCUUUCUACUGUCUCCUCAUCUCUUCAGAAAGGCAGCAUUUUUUUUGAGUUUAUAAUGAUAUUGAUAGCCAGUUUAAGUGCAACCGUCAGGAAGCAAUAUAAAAUCAAUUUAAAAUCAGUAGGUUUUAGGAAUCAUUUCUUAAAAUGGAGAUUUUUAAAAGAAUGUACAUGUAUGGAAAGAAUGAACUUAGAAUAUUUGCAAAUAGUAAUUAUAUUGACAUAGUAAGAAGGUGUAGUAGAGUAUAAAACUAUGGAUGCUAACAUAAUUAGAAUAAAACUGAUCACAUAAUUUUUUGAAACAGGUAUAUCUGUUCUUAAAUGUGAUGCUCACUUAUCAAAAGAGAAAAAUAUUUUCAACUCUUGUCAGCAGAAACUAAUUGUUGGCAUAUUUAAGGUAAAACACAUGGAUCCAAAAGCACAAUUACAAACUUUUCUGCAUUAUGAAAAAAUAAUAAAACUGGCUUCUCAAACACCAAUUUUUUAUUAAAAUCAAAAUUUCAAGCCAAUCAUCAAAAAAACAUGUUUUGUC